UCGAGGAUCUUCGGCAAUGGGCGAAAGCCUGACCGAGCGACGCCGCGUGUGGGAUGAAGGCCCUCGGGUUGUAAACCACUGUCAACGGGGAGGAAAUACAGAAGGGCUAUCCCUUUUGUUUGACCUAUCUGUGGAGGAAGUACGGGCUAAGUUCGUGCCAGCAGCCGCGGUAAGACGAACCGUACAAACGUUAUUCGGAAUUACUGGGCUUAAAGGGUGCGUAGGCGGCGCGGACAGUUGGGUGUGAAAGCCCUCGGCUCAACCGAGGAAUUGCGCUCAAAACUACCGUGCUCGAGGGAGACAGAGGUAAGCGGAACUCAAGGUGGAGCGGUGAAAUGCGUUGAUAUCUUGAGGAACACCGGUGGCGAAGGCGGCUUACUGGGUCUUUUCUGACGCUGAGGCACGAAAGCCAAGGUAGCAAACGGG
rnacentral:rRNA from 1 species